AGCAGUAGCCGCGGGAAUACGUAGGUCCCGAGCGUUGUCCGGAUUUAUUGGGCGUAAAGCGAGCGCAGGCGGUUAGAUAAGUCUGAAGUUAAAGGCUGUGGCUUAACCAUAGUACGCCUUGGAAACUGUUUAACUUGAGUGCAAGAGGGGAGAGUGGAAUUCCAUGUGUAGCGGUGAAAUGCGUAGAUAUAUGGAGGAACACCGGUGGCGAAAGCGGCUCUCUGGCUUGUAACUGACGCUGAGGCUCGAAAGCGUGGGGAGCAAACAGGAUUAGAUACCCCCGUAGUCCCUGUCUCUUAUACA
rnacentral:rRNA from 1 species